rnacentral:rRNA from 1 species
AUUGAACGCUGGCGGCAUGCCUUACACAUGCAAGUCGAACGGUAACAGGUCUUCGGAUGCUGACGAGUGGCGAACGGGUGAGUAAUACAUCGGAACGUGCCCGAUCGUGGGGGAUAACGCAGCGAAAGCUGUGCUAAUACCGCAUACGAUCUACGGAUGAAAGCGGGGGAUCGCAAGACCUCGCGCGGACGGAGCGGCCGAUGGCAGAUUAGGUAGUUGGUGGGAUAAAAGCUUACCAAGCCGACGAUCUGUAGCUGGUCUGAGAGGACGACCAGCCACACUGGGACUGAGACACGGCCCAGACUCCUACGGGAGGCAGCAGUGGGGAAUUUUGGACAAUGGGCGCAAGCCUGAUCCAGCCAUGCCGCGUGCAGGAUGAAGGCCUUCGGUUGUAAACUGCUUUGUACGGUAACGAAAAGUACUCUCUAAUAAAGGGGACGGAAGUGACGGUACCGUAAGAAUAAGACACCGGCGUAACUACGUGCCAGCAGCCGC